AAGAUCAUACUUCACAGAAUCAUUUCUAUAGUAUGUUUCCUUAGCUUCACAUCCAAUAUGUGAAGUCAGCCUUAACUGCGAUGACGAGUGAAUGGCAUACCUGUCUGAGCGUGAUAUCGACCCAACGCUGACCACUAGUGGUCCGGCUGUUGUGGUCGUUGAUGACCGUUCCCUAACUUAACAUAAGCUAAGGGAGGACAGGUAUGCGUUCUGAGCAGU